UGUUUUGGAGGUGGGCAAAUCCGCCCCCCACGCACCUUCAUUUUGAAGGUCAUAAGAGAUGCAGGAGUACCGGCGGUCCUGCCCAAAACA
rnacentral:ncRNA from 1 species